AGACCGUGAUGAGGACACUUUCUUAGUAGCUACUUGAACCUCUCCCAAGUUUCAUAUACGGAUUCCCCAUCCUCUUGUGAAUAUGUAAUUAAUUUCAGUCAUU
rnacentral:snoRNA from 1 species